rnacentral:tRNA from 1 species
GCGGGUGUCGUAUAAAGGCAUUACCUCAGCUUUCCAAGCUGAUGAUGAGGGUUCGAUUCCCUUCACCCGCUCCC